GGUGGGAAGGGGCAUUUGGGGUGAGGGAAAAUACAGACAGGUGACUAGUGACAGAGUGAAGGAGCGGGUGACACAGUGACAGAGUUAGGGAGGGAGUAACUAGUGACAGAGAGAGGGAUGGGGUGACUAGUGACAGUCACCCCCCCCCCUCACUCUGUUACCAGUCAUCCCCUCACUCUGUCACUAGUCACCCCUUCCCUCCCUCUGCCACUAGUCACCCAUUCCCUCACUCUGUCACUAGUCUCCCCCUCUCCUUCCCUCUGUCACUAGUCACCCACUCCCUCACUCUGUCACCAGUCACCCCCACUCACUGUGUCUCCCCCUCACUCUGCCAC